AGUGAACGCUGGCGGUAGGCCUAACACAUGCAAGUCGAACGGCAGCACAGUAAGAGCUUGCUCUUACGGGUGGCGAGUGGCGGACGGGUGAGGCAUACAUCGGAAUCUACUUUUUCGUGGGGGAUAACGUAGGGAAACUUACGCUCAUACCGCAUACGACCUACGGGUGAAAGCAUGGGAUCUUCGGACCUUGCGCGAUUGAAUGAGCCGAUGUCGGAUUAGCUAGUUGGCGGGGUAAAGGCCCACCAAGGCGACCAUCCGUAGCUGGUCUGAGAGGAUGAUCAGCCACACUGGAACUGAGACACAGUCCAGACUCCUACGGGAGGCAGCAGUGGGGAAUAUUGGACGAUGGGCGCGAGCCUGAUCCAGCCAUACCGCGUGGGUGAAGAAGGCCUUCGGGUUGUAAAGCCCUUUUGUUGGGAAAGAAAAGCAGCAGGUUAAUACCCCGCUGUUCUGACGGUACCCAAAGAAUAAGCACCGGCUAACUUCGUG
rnacentral:rRNA from 1 species